rnacentral:rRNA from 1 species
GGAUUGCCCUAGUAACGGCGAGUGAAGCGGCAACAGCUCAAAUUUGAAAUCUGGCUCUUUCAGAGUCCGAGUUGUAAUUUGCAGAGGGCGCUUUGGCUUUGGCAGCGGUCCAAGUUCCUUGGAACAGGACGUCACAGAGGGUGAGAAUCCCGUACGUGGUCGCUAGCUAUUGCCGUGUAAAGCCCCUUCGACGAGUCGAGUUGUUUGGGAAUGCAGCUCUAAAUGGGAGGUAAAUUUCUUCUAAAGCUAAAUAUUGGCCAGAGACCGAUAGCGCACAAGUAGAGUGAUCGAAAGAUGAAAAGCACUUUGGAAAGAGAGUCAAACAGCACGUGAAAUUGUUGAAAGGGAAGCGCUUGCAGCCAGACUUGCUUGCAGUUGCUCAUCCGGGCUUUUGCCCGGUGCACUCUUCUGCAGGCAGGCCAGCAUCAGUUUGGGCGGUGGGAUAAAGGUCUCUGUCAUGUACCUCUCUUCGGGGAGGCCUUAUAGGGGAGGCGACAUACCACCAGCCUAGACUGAGGUCCGCGCAUCUGCUAGGAUGCUGGCGUAAUGGCUGUAAGCGGCCCGUCUUGAAACACGGACCAAGGAGUCUAACAUCUAUGCGAGUGUUUGGGUGUCAAGCCCGAGCGCGUAAUGAAAGUGAACGGAGGUGGGAACCCGCAAGGGUGCACCAUCGACCGAUCCUGAAGUUUACGGAAGGAUUUGAGUAAGAGCAUGGCUGUUGGGACCCGAAAGAUGGUGAACUAUGCUUGAAUAGGGUGAAGCCAGAGGAAACUCUGGUGGAGGCUCGCAGCGGUUCUGACGUGCAAAUCGAUCGUCAAAUUUGGGCAUAGGGGCGAAAGACUA